UUCCGGUUGAUCCCGCCGGACCUGACUGCUAUCGGAUUGAUACUAAGCCAUGCGAGUCAUUGUAGCAAUACAAGGCAUACGGCUCAGUAACGCGUAGUCAACCUAACCUAUGGACGGGAAUAACCUCGGGAAACUGAGAAUAAUGCCCGAUAGAACACUAUACCUGGAAUGGUUUGUGUUCCAAAUGAUUUAUCGCCAUAGGAUGGGACUGCGGCCUAUCAGUUUGUUGGUGAGGUAAUGGCCCACCAAGACUAUUACAGGUACGGGCUCUGAGAGGAGUAGCCCGGAGAUGGGUACUGAGACACGGACCCAGGCCCUAUGGGGCGCAGCAGGCGAGAAAACUUUGCAAUGUGCGAAAGCACGACAAGGUUAAUCCGAGUGAUUUGUGCUAAACGAAUCUUUUGUUAGUCCUAGAAACACUAACGAAUAAGGGGUGGGCAAGUUCUGGUGUCAGCCGCCGCGGUAAAACCAGCACCUCAAGUGGUCAGGAUGAUUAUUGGGCCUAAAGCAUCCGUAGCCGGCUCUGUAAGUUUUCGGUUAAAUCUGUACGCUUAACGUACAGGCUGCCGGGAAUACUGCAGAGCUAGGGAGUGGGAGAGGUAGACGGUACUCGGUAGGACGUGGUAAAAUGCUUUGAUCUAUCGAUGACCACCUGUGGCGAAGGCGGUCUACCAGAACACGUCCGACGGUGAGGGAUGAAAGCUGGGGGAGCAAACCGGAUUAGAUACCCGGGUAGUCCCAGUUGUAAACUAUGCAAACUCAGUGAUGCAUUGGCUUGUGGCCAAUGCAGUGCUGCAGGGAAGCCGUUAAGUUUGCCGCCUGGGAAGUACGUACGCAAGUAUGAAACUUAAAGGAAUUGGCGGGGGAGCACCACAAGGGGUGAAGCCUGCGGUUCAAUUGGAUUCAACGCCGGG
rnacentral:rRNA from 1 species